rnacentral:misc_RNA from 1 species
UCCGGUUUGUCACCGGCGGUCUCCUUAGAGUUCCCGAAGGCACCAAUCCAUCUCUGGAAAGUUCUCGACAUGUCAAGGGUAGGUAAGGUUUUUCGCGUUGCAUCGAAUUAAUCCACAUCAUCCACCGCUUGUGCGGGUCCCCGUCAAUUCCUUUGAGUUUCAGUCUUGCGACCGUACUCCCCAGGCGGCGAACUUAACGCGUUAGCUUCGAUACUGCGUGCCAAAUUGCACCCAACAUCCAGUUCGCAUCGUUUAGGGCGUGGACUA